GCAAAAUCACGGAGAGGCAUCCUUUUUGAAUUUCAUGUGUAUGAAAAAUGAAGCCUGUGGCAUAGUGGGGGCAGAGUGGUAAAUUAUAUGGAAAGACAGAAGACUGAGAAAGGAGAAGGUUAUUUAAGGAGAUAGGCCUAGGAUGGAUUUGGAGAUCCUGACCUGCUGGAGUACAGGGCUGAAUAAGAGAAGUGGUGUGGCUUUCAGGGCACUGGAGGAUGAAAGAGAAGGACAUAACCAUUUAAACUGGGAGUUAUGCAUGGCUGCAUCAUAGAAGAGAAGCUUCGUCAAUGACUUGAAGAGCUUCUGUCUUAGAACCUGUAAGAUGAAGUGAAGCUACAUGGCCCAAAGGGGUAGA
rnacentral:lncRNA from 1 species